rnacentral:lncRNA from 1 species
UGAUGGCGUCGACCACGUCCGCUGCAGCCUCCAUGCUUCUCACGGGAUCCACCACUAGCGCCACGCCUCAUAUGGCCACGACGCCUCAGUUCAUCACAAUAUCGGGCCCUCAAGGACAAAACUCCACAGCAGUCCCGGCAAUAUCUGCUUCCUCCCCGUUUCCAACAAUCACAUUAGACCUGACGAACACUCCCGCCUCCCAGAUAAGCAACAGAUCGAACAACUCCCCUGGCACUGCAUCCACAAAUUUGCAUUACUUCCAGGACACCACCAUCAAUGGCGUCACAAUCUCACAAGCUACCACUCAGCAACAAUUGAUGAUCCCCCAACAACCCACUACAAUAAGCUGCCCGAUGUUCCUAAAUGAAACAGCUCACAAACACGAUGGCAGCAAUUUAACCCUAAGAGGGGCUUUCAGCGACCCGACCACCCAUCACCAUCGCCAAAUGGACUCCUCGGACGGGACACGCAGCGACCACCAGCACAAACCGGCAGUAACACAACCACCAGAAUCACCGACGACACUGGCCGAGUCCAUGACAGCCGCCACAGCAGCGAUUACUUCCGAUCCCAACUUCGCGGCAGCUCUAGCGGCGGCCAUCACGUCCAUUCUAGCUCACCAGCACAACAACAACAACAACCAGAGCUUGCAGGAUCUGGCCACGCAAGUUACGGAGAUCAGGCACAGGGAGGGGCACCAAAAUACGUCCUUACCGCCGUCGUCAUUCACUCCGGUGGCAUCCAGCGGCACCACGGAAGGACUGCAGGUGCAACCUAUGUCCCACGAUGCCGAACUCUCAACCAUUCUGGCGUCGGCAAUGAUGUCCACAUCGAAGGAUCCACCUUCGACCGGAUUGUCC